rnacentral:rRNA from 1 species
UACGUAGGGGGCGAGCGUUAUCCGGAUUUAUUGGGCGUAAAGUGUGCGUAGGCGGUUUAUUAAGUCUAAAAUUAAAGCCUGAGGCUCAACCUCAGUUCGUUUUAGAAACUGGUAGACUUGAGUAUGGUAGAGGCAAGUGGAAUUUCUAGUGUAGCGGUUAAAUGCGUAGAUAUUAGAAGGAACACCAGUGGCGAAGGCGGCUUGCUGGGCCAUUACUGACGCUGAGGCACGAAAGCGUGGGGAGCAAAUAG